rnacentral:rRNA from 1 species
ACUCAAAGGAAUUGACGGGGACCCGCACAAGCGGUGGAGCAUGUUGUUUAAUUCGAAGCUACGCGAAGAACCUUACCCACUCUUGACAUACCAAGUAUGACUUUCAGAGAUGAUUGUCUUCAGUUCGGCUGGCUUGGAUACAGGUGCUGCAUGGCUGUCGUCAGCUCGUGUCGUGAGAUGUUGGGUUAAGUCCCGCAACGAGCGCAACCCUCAUCGUCUGUUGCUACCAGGUUAAGCUGGGCACUCUGACGAGACCGCCGGUGACAAGCCGGAGGAAGGUGGGGACGACGUCAAGUCAUCAUGGCCCUUACGAGUGGGGCUACAAACGUGCUACAAUGGUAACUACAGUGAGCAGCCACUUCGCAAGAAGGCGCUAAUCUCAAAAAGUUAUCUCAGUUCAGAUUGUCCUCUGCAACUCGAGGGCAUGAAGUUGGAAUCGCUAGUAAUCGGCCAUCAGCAUGGGCCGGUGAAUACGUUCCCGGGUCUUGUACACACCGCCCGU